rnacentral:rRNA from 1 species
UACGGAGGGGGUUAGCGUUGUUCGGAAUGACUGGGCGUAAAGCGCGCGUAGGCGGAUCAGGAAGUUGGGGGUGAAAUCCCGGGGCUCAACCCCGGAAUGGCCUUCAAAACUCCUGGUCUUGAGUUCGGGAGAGGUGAGUGGAAUUCCGAGUGUAGAGGUGAAAUUCGUAGAUAUUCGCAAGAACACCAGUGGCGAAGGCGGCUCACUGGCCCAUUACUGACGCUGAGGCACGAAAGCGUGGGGAGCAAACAGG